GCAUUUGGUAACUCAGUCAGUAGAGCAUGAGACUCUUAAUCUCACAGUCAUGAGUGCAACCCCCAUGUUGGGCA